AGGGCACCACCAGGAGUGGAGCCUGCGGCUUAAUUUGACUCAACACGGGAAAACUUACCCGGCCCGGACACUGGAAGGAUUGACAGAUUGAGAGCUCUUUCUUGAUUCAGUGGGUGGUGGUGCAUGGCCGUUCUUAGUUGGUGGAGCGAUUUGUCUGGUUAAUUCCGAUAACGAACGAGACUCUAGCCUACUAAAUAGACUGUUCAGCUUUAUAGCCGGAAUCACUGGGCGUGUAGCUCUCCGCAAGGGGGGUUGCAUGUUCGGCUCUGGUGACGUUGGCAGUGCUUCUUAGAGGGACAGGCGGCGGUUCAGCCGCACGAAACAGAGCAAUAACAGGUCUGUGAUGCCCUUAGAUGUCCGGGGCUGCACGCGCGCUACACUGAAGUGAUCAGCGUGCAAUUUACGUUUGGUGAUCUGUCAAGAUUGCCCAACCCGUUGAACCUUCUUCGUGAUUGGGAUAGGGGAUUGUAAUUAUUCCCCUUGAACGAGGAAUUCCCAGUAAGCGCAAGUCAUAAGCUU
rnacentral:rRNA from 1 species